rnacentral:rRNA from 1 species
UGGCGAACGGGUGAGUAACGCGUGAGGAACCUGCCUCAAAGAGGGGGACAACAGUUGGAAACGACUGCUAAUACCGCAUAAGCCCACGACCUGGCAUCGGGUUGAGGGAAAAGGAGCAAUCCGCUUUGAGAUGGCCUCGCGUCCGAUUAGCUAGUUGGUGAGGUAACGGCCCACCAAGGCAACGAUCGGUAGCCGGACUGAGAGGUUGAACGGCCACACUGGGACUGAGACACGGCCCAG